rfam:Heligmosomoides polygyrus genome assembly, scaffold: HPBE_scaffold0000051
GUACCGGUGGUGUAAGGCGAACAUCGCUGCCCGGGAAGCAGAAGAUACGGGUUCGAGUCCCGCCUGGCGCA